GAUGAACGCUGGCGGUAUGCUUAACACAUGCCAGUCGAACGGACUCUUCGGAGUUAGUGGCGGACGGGUGAGUAACGCGUGAGAAUCUGGCUUUGGGUUCGGGACAACCACUGUAAACGGUGGCUAAUACCGGAUGUGCCGAGAGGUAAAAGAGAAAUUGCCUGAAGAUGAGCCCGCGUCUGAUUAGCUAGUUGGUGAGGUAAAGGCUCACCAAGGCAGCGAUCAGUAGCUGGUCUGAGAGGAUGACCAGCCACACUGGGACUGAGACACGGCCCAGACUCCUACGGGAGGCAGCAGUGGGGAAUUUUCCGCAAUGGGCGAAAGCCUGACGGAGCAAUACCGCGUGAGGGAAGAAGGCUCUUGGGUUGUAAACCUCUUUUCUUAGGGAAGAACAAAAUGACGGUACCUAAGGAAUCAGCAUCGGCUAACUCCGUG
rnacentral:rRNA from 1 species